CCUACGGUGAGCAGCAGUGAGGAAUAUUGGUCAAUGGCCGAGAGGCUGAACCAGCCAAGUCGCGUGAGGGAAGACGGCCCUACGGGUUGUAAACCUCUUUUGUCGGGGAGCAAAGCGAACCACGUGUGGUUCAUUGAGAGUACCCGAAGAAAAAGCAUCGGCAACCUCCGUGCCAGCAGCCGCGGUAAUACGGAGGCUGCUACCGUUAUCCGGAUUUAUUGGGUUAAAAGGGUGGGCAGGGGGAGGUGCACGUCAGCGGUAAAAUUGCGGGGCUCAACCCCGUACUGCCGUUGAAACGGCAUCCCUUGAGUGCGCGAGAAGUAUGCGGAAUGCGUGGUGUAGCGGUGAAAUGCAUAGAUAUCACGCAGAACUCCGAUUGCGAAGGCAGCAUACCGGCGCGCAACUGACGCUCAUGCACGAAAGCGUGGGUAUCGAACAGGAUUAGAUACCCUAGUAGUC
rnacentral:rRNA from 1 species